UCUGGCCCGGGCGGUGCGAGGCACUGUGAGGCGCGCGUGGGCUUUCUGGAGUCCGGGGAUGGAGUUUUUGGGCAAAAAAGGGUCGCUUAGCACGAUAUUUACUAUGAAAAAUCAUAAAUAGACUGGAAGAUAUUUCAGAGAUAACUAGUUUCCCAUCCACCAAAGUAGUCCUGAUGGUCUUGGAGAUGCAGCUUCCUUCAGGGAAGGUGUAAGGACCCGAGUGGAUCGGAUUCGCCCCAGGAGAGGGCAGCAGUGCGCUUGCACAAAAUCGCCGUGUCUUGCCUCUGUAGGGUCUUUCUUUUGUACCAAGUAUCGAAUUCCCAUUAAAUCAAUUUAAAAAGCUGAAGUACA